CUAAGUCGUCUGGAUAUCCUCGUUAAACCUUCUAACAAUGCAGAGUUUUCGCUCGGAAGUUGUUUCUACCAUCUCUUUAAGGGCUGAGUCCAGGAAAACAUCAUAGCUGUGUCCAAACAGAAGACCAUUCUGACAUGUCGAGCUUCAAACGACAACAACAUCUUAGCUGUAAAGUGGAGCAGAGUUGACCAGAAGGAGGGAUAUGUCUUUUUGUACCAGGAUGGGCACGUUAUUCCAGAUUAUCAGGAUUCAUCUUUUAAGAACCGGGUGGAUCUGCAGGGAAGACAUAAGAAGGAUGGAGACGUGUCUCUGAUUCUGAAGGAUGUCACAACUGCAGAUGCUGGAACAUACAAGUGUCAUGUUGCCCAGAAAUCAGGGGAACCUAUGAGCCUCAUCACCACCAUAAACCUGAGUGUUGUUGAUCCUCCAGGUCAGACAGGAGGAGGCACAGAGGAUGGAGGGAAGGAAGUUGAAGCGAAGAAGGCAGGAGGG